UCUUCGGCGUACUCACCACUUUAGAUUUCGAUAUCAUCUUUUCUUCUGUUUGCAAUGAACGUUCUAAUCUUCCUUGCCUGCUGCAGCGCCUCUAUACUCAUGCGAUCGAGGGCGCAACAAGAAGACAACUGUUUUCCGGGAACUACUGACUUAGUGAUCCACCAUGAGGUAGUAGACCAAGAAACGGGAUUCACAAAGUACUGCUCUGGUAUGGCUGUUCUUAAAAAAUGCGAAGGAUCGUGUAUUUCCCAGGUAACGCCGAGUGUGAGAUAUGGAUUUUCCAAGGAAUGUAAAUGUUGCCGAGAAAGAACGCGAACUUUGCGAACAGUAGUUUUAGAUGCGUGCUUCGAUGUAGAUAACAACCCACUUCCAGGCGUGACUCAUCAAAUGGUCUUACAAGAACCCAGCGAUUGUGCCUGCCAAGUCUGUGCCCUUUAAAGCAAUCCAUGUAUCAAAUGUAUAAUAAGACUUUUUACACACAGAAACAUAUAUUGUAUACAGACUCAUGGUGAAAUGAUUUAUCAUAUAGGUUUAUAGUAUAUAGAGUUAUAUAUGUAGUAUACACACUCAUAGUAUAUAUGUGCAUAGUAUAUGGGUUCAUGGUGUAUAUUAUACAUGUUCAUAUGUAUGCACCUACUAUAUGAGCUCAUAGUAGAUAUACACAUAUAGGGAAUAGUAUACACACUCAUAGUAUAUAUGUGCAUAGUAUAUGGGUUCAUGGUGUAUAUUAUACAUGUUCAUAUGUAUGCACCUACUAUAUGAGCUCGUAGUAGAUAUACACAUAUAGGGAAUAGUAUACCAGCUCAUUGUAUGUAGAUGCAUGGUAUAUAGACAGAUAAUAAAUAGUAUAUAGACUCAUAGUAGUAUAUAACUAUACAAUGCAACAAUGCACCCUAACUUGUGCAACUAUACUGACACAUAAUGUGUCAAUUAUUCAGUCAGUUAUUUAGGUAUGAUCAUUAUUAAACUUCAGAAAGUCUAGGACUCAUGAGUAUGCCUUUGAUUUGAAUUUACGAAUGCUGUAUUUUGUAUUUCCUUAGAAAUUAUUAAAGGCACUAAUUAUUCGCAAACAACUCUA